GUCCAGAUCCCUCUGCAGAGCCUUCCUACCCUCCAGCAGAAGAAAACUCCAAUAGUGUCAUCUGCAAACUGACUUAGAGUACCCUUGAUCCUCUUGUCCAGAUCUUCAACAAAAAUAGUAAACAUGACCUGCCCCAAAACUGAUCCUUGGGGAGCUGGUGACAGGCCUCCAGCUGAAUGCAACUCAAUUCACCACCACUCUUGGCUUGGCCAUCCAGGCAGUUUUUUUACCCAGUGAGCCCAUGGCCUAUCUGAGCCAUGUGCAAACAGUUCCUCCAAGAGAAUGCUGUGAGACACAAGUGUCGAAGGAUUUCCUAAAGUGCAGGUAAAUCACAUCCACAGUCUUUCCUUCAUCCACUAAGUGGAACACCUUGUCAUAGAAGGAGAUGAAGUUGGUCAAGCAGAGCCUGCCUUGCUGAAUCCAGGCUGACUGGGAUUGAUAGAGACACUUACUGCCCUCGUCCUGCAUGCACUGUGUGAUUGCACCAAGAUAAUCUAAAUACUAACACUUAAGGUCAGUUCAUAAGUUUCAUAGUUUGCUUUUGUAACUAUAUCUUCAGGGGUCCAGGAGAAAAUAACUAUAAUAUAUUGCUGCAAUAUUUGUCUUGUUGCUGGUUGACUAAAGAAUUGAAGAAACAAGUAGUGGAUACUCUUCCAUAAAAGUACCGUUCAUUCUUUUGUAUAUAGACCAUUGAAAGAUUUAUUUGGUAAAGAAAUACCAAAACGGAUUUCUUUCGUGACUUGUGCUAUUCUGUGAAUUCAAUAUAUGUUGCUAGUUCUAGCUGUUAGAGUUGUGCUCAUAAUAAAGAGUUACUGAUUAUAAUGGCAAGUUUUACUCAAAGAAGUGCAGAGAAGUACAACUCUUACAUACCAGUGGAAUGCCCAGAUCCUUUACUUUCACAUUUGUGGUCUGUGCUACUUGCCUGGUACCAUUAUUGCUGCUUCUCUGUUUCCUUUCCUUAUUUAUUUACUUUACUUUAAUCCUUGACUUUUCUGUAUAACAUGUAAGAAUUUGUUGCUCGUUUGUAUCCUGUUUAAUUCCUUCUGUUGCACAUGUGGAUGACUGAAUGCUCGCACCAAAGGGUAGCAAGAUGCCCAGGUUUGACAGUCACAAUGCCAUAAAAUAUAUUGAACUUUUGGAUAGCCAAGGUAAUGGCUAUGAAAUGUCAUGGGCUUUGAUUACAACAAUUACAAUAAGCAGAGCUGAGGUUGUGAGAAUUGUAGUGUAGUCAUGAAGGCUCAAUAAAUUGUCAUUUGAGCUGGAUUCAGCUUGGAAGUCUUGGAUCUUAAACUGCUGUCAUACUGUCCUAGCUUCAGGAUAGACUGGAUUCGUUGGUGACCUGAAGACAUAAUGCAAGAUUGGCAAGUGUAGUCUAGCUUAUUGCUAGGAGAUACGUAAUUUUUGAACUUACUGAAUGUGAGGUGGGUGUCACCUCCCAUGAAUUUUUAUGUAUUUCUUUAAUUCCUUCUUUAGGACAUGAUCUUAGAAAACAGGCUGAGAAUUUGGGGCGAAACUGUCACUGCUCUUCAGUUGCUUGAACUUCCACAAGCCUUCUUAUUCAAUGUCUUCUAAUUUCUUGGCUUCACUUAAUUUUUGCUUUGCAAAAUCUAACUCAACAUUGGUACGAAUGUAAGAACCUCAGAGGUAGAUUUAUUUUCUUUGAGUAGAAGUCUUGUGUUGGAAAACUGCUAAUUCAAGGAGGAAGUAUUUGGGGGAGUUGCACUCUCUCUGCCUGGAAUACUUUUAUGCAAAGCAGCUACUUAGUAGUUGCUUUGUAUAAAACAAUACAGAAGUCACCAAGUUGUUUUAAAUGUUGCUUUCUAAAUUUUGGCAGUUAGUCUGCACUAUUACCAGUUCUUAACUUAAGUGUUGUUUUCAGGUAACUAUGUUUGGAUAUCCAAAUUUUAGGGAGAUUUGUUUACUGUCUGGAGUAAAAAGCCUAAGAGGUGACUUAAUUACUCCAAGUCAAAACACAAAUGCCAAAUUCCCUAGUGAUCUUAUCUAUAGCAUUUCCUUCGAAAGUUUCCUUUUGCAGUGUAUAAAUUAGAUAUUCCUGUUAAAUAGAAGAUAAUCAUUGACAUGUUUUUUUUGAUUCAUAGACUCCUCUUGGGCUGACACAACUCUUUUGUGUUGAGUAGUUUGUUCAAGGGUUUUUGGGUUUUUUUCUUCUUCUAAUUGAAUUUAACAGAAAAGGCCAAGUAUAAGUAUAUUCAUACUCUUUCUGAACGGGGUAGAUAAAAGUAUUUUUCUUACUGCUUUUUUGCAUUGAAAUCUUGUUCCUGCUUUUCUUCUUUUAAGCUCUAUUUUUUGUGGUGUCUGCAGAAACUUUGGGUAUGUCUCAUCUGUGCUCUGGUAAACUUCUUUCAGUCUUUAAUUCUCUGGUAAGUUCCAUAUAAAAUGUAUAAAUUACAGUAGAUAAGAUCUUGCAUAUUUUUGUGACCAACAUUUAAUUCAGAAAUUCAAAUAAUAAAGUGGCUUAAAGCUUCCUGGGCCUUGUGUGAAAUUCAUUUUAAACCACUGUAGACGUGUCUAUGUGGUGUGUUCUAUUCAUACAGAAGUUUGUAGAGCCUUGAAAACAUAUACCAUCGUUUUUAGUUUGCCUACUUGCCUGCUGGUUUUUGAUGUGGAAUACAGUGCCAACCUCUGACAGCCAGAGCUCUAGUAAUCUGUUAAACAAUGAUCAUUAAAAAAAAAACCCAAACCAAAAAAAUCCAAAUCAAGCUCCUUUUCACCAAGCAGUUCUUCACUGUUAAAGCUUUAUGAAAAUGACAAUACAUGGAAAAUGAGCUCGAAGGAGGAUGAAGAAUUCUCUGCAACAGGUAAUUGUCAUCAAUCAUUUAUUCUGGUGGUAUGGAGAAGAAUGAGAAAAGACAGAGAAGCAUUUUGUGUGUUUGUGGAACAGGGAGAAGGGUCUUAUGUGUGGGCUCUUCUUAAAUGCAAGCUGCCAGCUGCUUCCAUCUUUCUUCUUAAUAUUCCCAUUCUUUUGAGUUGUAGUAGGGGAUGAUGGAAAACAGCUUUUUGUAUAACUUAAGAAUUGAAGUUGACUAUCUUGAUAAUGCCUAGUUCUGGCCCUCAGCUUGCACGGCUUGGACUGUUUCACUUGCCCGCUGAAGUUUCUUGCUUGUGCUAACAGUGGUAGUUAGUAGUGCUGAAGGUAUAGGAGCAGAUGCAGGAGCACAACAUACAGGGUGUUGCCAACACGCCAGGAGGUGCCCUUGUACCAGAAACACAAAUGCAGGAACAUCUAGUGCAGAGAACAGCCAGUGCUGUGACAAGGCAGUUCGUAUAUUUAAGGCAGUUUACAAAUAAGAACUUACGCUGAUUUUGUAUGCUGCUGUAGAAAGUAGUAAAUCUUGGACAACUACUCCUGUACAUGUACUAAACAGAUCAGGAGACCACUCUUGCCCUUGUUGAAUUAAUUGCCUGGCUGUGGAAACAAAUCAAAAUCUUUGAAAGAACCUAAUGUUUUAAACUGUCCAGGAAGUAAUUUUCGUUUGUGUGACUCUCACAUCCCCUUUGGAGGAUUAAAUUUGAGAUUAGUCCUAAAGUGAAAUUGUGGCUUGCUGACAUUUAUACACAUUUUCUGCUUUUAUAAAAACAGAAAACUAAUUGAAGGCUGAUGCUGUAAUUUAGCUCUCUGAACUACUUACAAAAAGUUGCACAUCAUGCAGAAAAGUAAUGUAUAAUCAGACCUAGAAACAGUGUUCUAGUAAUAUAUGGUGAAGAACUGCUUUGCAGUGUGAUGUCUUACUGUGUACAAGCUGUUUUGUAUAAACAACUGCAGCUAAGAAUUGAGAUUCUGUUACUGAUUUUGCUAAUCGCUAAUUUCCUUUUUCAUUUUCUAUCCACAGAUCUUCAUGUCUUUCACUAAGAGGAAACUUGUCAAGAUAAUUGCCUUAACUAUUGUACCUUGGAGCAGCAUGUACAAAACUGAUCUUAAGAAGAGAGAGCGAUUAGUAUUUGAAAUAACUGCCAGGGGGGGAAAAAAAAAAAUCAAGAAACACUUUUUUUUUUAAAUAAUCUAUAGAAGAUAUAACGGCUAAAGUCCAUUAAGAAGUUAUUCUGACCUAGUAAAAAGGCACAGCUGCUGAAAGGGGAAAAUACUUAGUAGAAAUUGCAAAAACCACUUUUGUUCUUAAAGGAACACAUUAUGUGUCAUGUCAACUCCUUUAGUGAUGUGUUUUGUCUUCUCUCUAGGAAACUGGUAUUUCUGCAGUAUUCAGAAUUAGGUCAACUUUCUGUUAGUAGAUUUUGGACUUUUCCUUUAUCUGUAAUUAUUUCUGUCAACAAGUCAUGGUUUUGCAGCUGCUUAACUGGGAAUUAACUCGUAGGCUUCUAACAGCAUUCAAGAAAAUUUCAAGACUAUUCUAAAAUUAUAAGGCUAUUCAAGGUACCUGUAGUAUUUCAGCUGCUUUUUCUACUGGUGCAGCUUGAGAGAGAGUGGAGUUCCAGCAGUCUGGUAGCAAUAACCCAGAUACACCUGAGGAAGGUGUGUUUUACACUGGGCGUAGGUGCCAAGUAAAUCUCCUGUGGAGCGCUGACUGUAAAAACUGUAUUUCUUCUACAAACCAUGUGUCACUGGUUUCUAGGUGUGCUGAUAUAGUGUAUAUGAGCAGAUACUCUCACUUUCUGUGAGGUAUGUUGAAUAUGUAUCUGGCAGGAAACACUAAUAUUGUAAUGAGAUUUUAAAAUUGACACUUUUAUGCUGUGUCAGAACCUUGUUACUCUACAGUAUUUGUAUAAAUGAACUUCUCUGUCAGAGGUGAAAUUACGUCUUUGGAGUUUUACACUGGCUUUUGUCUUUAUAAAUUAGUAUAAUUUAAAACUUCAAAAUAAAGUGUAAAUGCAGUGUUAUUUUAAUGAAUGAGAUGUAUAAUGAUAGUCACCUUUUGCAGCAACUCGAAUUUUCUUUUAGUGCACUCAAUCACAAAGAAUAUUUUUCAGCAUUCUUCAGAAUGCUUCCUUAUCCUGGUGUUAAAAUUAGAUAGUUCUUUGCAUUAAAACUGUACAGAUGAAAAUGUACCCAGUUUCUUUCCCUUUUCUUAGAGGGUUUAUUUGAUACUUAAUGAUGUCUUAUAGCUGUGCUUACCUCCCGGUUUUUUUCUCAACACACGAAUACGGAUAUAACUCUAGACCAUCCAUUUGACUUACUGCCUGCCUAUUUUUAAACAAUUCUUGCAUGCUGAGCAAGAGGAGUAUUCAGCCUGUACUUAAUGCUUGUGUUUCAGGGUUUAUCUCCUGUCUCAUAGAGUGUCUACACAUACUGGUUGUAUUUGGGGACAAGUAAGCAACCUUCUUGUACUGCUGCUCGGAAUAUGAUAAAAAAUGCCUGCUCCUGAGACCAAAUCAUUCGUCUUAAUCUCUGAAGAUCGAGGCUUUGGUGUAGAGCACCAUCUUUGUGUUUGUCCAGGUCACAGCUGUGCAAACAGGAAUUUUGGCAUGAGUAGUUCAAAUGUUUAUUUGUACCAAAAAACCCCCCCAACCAACAUCCUUUUAAAUCUUACAAGAAUUUUGAAUUCUUCUGUGAAGAUGAAUAUUCAACACAUCAGUAGCAGGUAACUACUUUUUUAAAUACUUUAUUUAAAUACUAUGUGGAAAAUGUUGAAUAAUCAUGUAAUUUGUACAUUGUCAUUUACUAGAUUUUUCUACCUUUUUAGAUAUCCAAGAUCCAGUCCUGGAUAGCCUUCCAGUCUGGUGUUUUUCUUGCCUCUUCAUGACCUCGUGUCUUGAGCAGCCUAGCUGGAUCCCCUGGUUCCUGUUUCUUCUUGUUUCAAAAUUCUGCUUUCUCCCGUUUUAGAUUCCCUACCCUUUUAUAUUCAUAUGCAUAUACUAGCUUUUUGCUACCUGUUUUGGUCUUUGCUGUUUAUCCUAAAACUUUGGUUGGGUUCCAUCCAAUAUUUUCCAUGUGGUGUUGGCUCUCCUGGAUUCCGUGCCACAGUUUAGUCCCUGCAAUUAGUUUGUCGAACAGGCCUGAUGUGCUUUUGAGGUUUUAGUGACCUGAUGGUCCUCAACUACAUUUCUGUUCUGCUGCUUUGUCUUGCUCUAAGUAGACAUUGGAGAAGACAUUAAGGCUGUAUGUACCUUUUGCUGCCCUAUUUAGAACAUUUUUUAAAGAAGCAAGAGACCUUGUGGUUUGUGGGGGAUAAGCAAAGUGAAAGUGUUCCCUAGAUACAAAAGUGCAAACAAUUCCCCUCAGCAACACCACCACCACAAUCUCCUCUUGAACAUGUUUAGAUUUGUGAGAUGUUUGUUCUGCCCCUUUCUGCUCUAAUUAGGAAAUGCAGUUGCAUUUUAGCUUCUAGGCUAAAUGGAGUUCUUCCUUUUUUUUCCCCCCUUCUGUCAAGUAAUAUCUCUAUUUCUAUUCAAUUUUGUAUAAUUUUGAUGAGCCUUUCUUUGCAAGUGCUCAGCUGUGGAAACCCUUAUGCUCCACACCAUAAGAGAAUUGCUGCUGAAUAGUGUCUUAGACUCAUCUGAAAUAUGUUUUGUUUUCUUGUGUAACACAUUCCCUUAAAAACAUUUGUUUUGAAAAUGGUUAUGAAUCUCUUCUGUUAUCUGGUUGGUCCUUUGCUAAUGGAUUCAGAAAAGUCAUUAAGCAUGUGUGUAUUGUGAUCUCUGGUGCAAAGUGAGGCAUUUGGGGGAAAAUACCAAGUUUUAGUGUCUUUUGGUGUUCAUGUUGUAGUAGUUCAUGUUGAUUUCUGUAUAUGCAAAUUUAAAGUGUUCACACGCUCAAAGUUUUAAGCUUUUUGUGCUAUUACUGUGUUGUAGUAUAGCAAGGAUUUAAAAUCUUAGUUUGACUUUCCAUUCAGUUACAAAGCAGGAACGUAUUAACAUAGUACAAAAUUAACAUUACAAAAAUAUUUAAAUGUAAAGCUGUUAUGUAUGAGUUUCUGGUCAUAUAAAACUCUUCUUUUGUAUCAUUCUUGGUGUGUGAAUCCUUUUUGGGGGGAAUGGGCAGGUGGUUCAGGGAAGAAAACUUGAUAAAAUUUUUUUGUGCAAAUUGAGUAAGAUUUGUCAUCGGAGUUCAUAAGGACGUCUUUUUCUGCGUGUGAAAUAAAAUGGUAACACAGGCUUUGUGAAGUUCUGUAAUUAAAUAUUUUUAACUUGAAAAGCAGCAUUUGCUCAAUAUCUAAGUAGUGAGUUUGUUUUUCUGAGUUUAGAAUAUGGGAUUGAAGUUCUUGCCAUAAUCAUGUGAACUGACAUUGUCAUGGGAAUUCUCAUGGGAACAGACCUCUUAAUGGUUUUAUAUUUCUUUGUAUGUUUUGGUAACACAGAUCUGUCCAAAUAAAGCACUCUUUCUGAUUGUUGGGUCUGAAAUACAUGUUUUUAAAUAGCAAUGUAACUUGAUUGCCUGAGAUUUUUGCAGUGAUGAAAUCUAAGUAGUUCCUUAAAGCUAUUUUGGGAGUAAUUGAAACUUGGUUUUUUUUCUUGUGUUUCA